rnacentral:rRNA from 1 species
AGCGCUAUUUAGGUUAGAGUUUGAUCCUGGCUCAGGACGAACGCUGGCGGCGUGCUUCACACAUGCAAGUCGAGCGGAAAGGCCCUUCGGGGUACUCGAGCGGCGAACGGGUGAGUAACACGUGAGUAACCUGCCCUUAGCACCGGGAUAGCUCCGGGAAACCGGAAUUAAUACCGGAUAUGACCACGAUCGGCAUCAGUCGUGGUGGAAAGGAUUCCGGCUAGGGAUGAACUCGCGGCCUAUCAGCUAGUUGGUUGGGGUAACGGCCCACCAAGGCGACGACGGGUAGCCGGCCUGAGAGGGCGGCCGGCCACACUGGGACUGAGACACGGCCCAGACUCCUACGGGAGGCAGCAGUGGGGAAUAUUGCACAAUGGGCGAAAGCCUGAUGCAGCGACGCCGCGUGAGGGAUGCGC